CUUGCGGCCAUAUCGCGUUAAAACAACGGUUUCCGUAAGAUCGCCGGAGUUAAGCAAUGUCGGGUCUGGUCAGUACUUAAAUGAGUAACCGUUUGGGAAUACCAG